AUCGCUUCUCGGCCUUUUGGCUAAGAUCAAGUGUAGUAUCUAACGAUCUCUCUCCCUUCCUCUCUGUAAAAAAUCAAUAAAAUAUAUAUAUUUUUUAAAAUAAUAAAAAAAAUAAAAAUAAAGCACCUUGUGCAUUCCUCUAGCUCAGUGUUCAUCAGGCUGCAGUAUCUCUGAUUGACUGGGUAUAGAA